AUUGAACGCUGGCGGCAGGCCUAACACAUGCAAGUCGAGCGAGCGGCGGACGGGUGAGUAAUGUAUGGGAAACUGCCUAGUGGAGGGGGAUAACUUCCGGAAACAGGCGCUAAUACCGCAUACUAUCAGAUGAGCCUAUUUCGGAUUAGCUAGUUGGUGGGGUAAUGGCUCACCAAGGCGACGAUCCCUAGCUGGUCUGAGAGGAUGACCGGCCAAACUGGAACUGAGACACGGCCCAGACUCCUACGGGAGGCAGCAGUGGGGAAUAUUGCACAAUGGGCGAAAGCCUGAGGCAGCCAUGCCGAGUGUAUGAAGAGGGCCUUCGGGUUGUAAAGUACUUUCAGCGGGGAGGCGUUACCCGCAGAAGAAGCACCGGCUAACUACGUGCCAGCAGCCGCGGUAAUUC
rnacentral:rRNA from 1 species